ACACAAGUCAUAUUUGAAUUGAACUGUACCUCAAUCAUAUCGAAUAUUUAAUCAUUCUCUGCGGUCACUUCGCACGGCUCCCUUUCGCCUUCGUUCACGCGGCCAUGUCUCCUUCUUACCUCCCUAUCUUCCGCAUCUAUCUCUUUCUUCCCUCCCUAUCUCCGGCGGCUCUAUCUCCUUCAUCCCUCCUUAUCUCCCGCACAGCUCCUUUCUCGUAGCUCUGGGCAACUCUAUCUCCUUUCCCGCAGCUCGUGUCGCGGCCCCCUGGCCACAGCUCCUCGUGUCACAGAAGCGCACUUACGAGACAGAUUCACACACACACUCACAGCUCGAUAACAACAGAGAGGGCCAUCGUCCACAAGGCCCAAGGCCUAAGCCUGAAAGCAACAGAAACCUGAGAGUCUGAGAUCGGAGGCAGAGACUCCGUCCUUUCACAGAUCGGACCAAAACCUCAGUGAUUCUAUAUUGGGCUCGUGAGAUCCUAAAUAUGGAUUGAGCAAACGCCAAUACCUGUCUCUACGAGGAUUCUUCGUAUUGUUUUGUAGUGCUUGAGUGCCUAUCUUUCACUUGGGAAACCCCUUCUUUCUCCUGGAAUUUUCACAUCCAAUUUAAGGUUUGCUUCUUGUAUGGACAAUUGUCUGUGAUCCCUUCCAUUCUUCCUUCAUUAAAUAUCUUAGCAUAUGGCUCCAAUGAUGGCAUGAAAUCUUUGAGGCCUGAUUGUCCAAUUUGAUGACAACUAUAGGAAUAUUUUCUGAGGAUGCCUUCCAAUUAAUGACUAUUAUUUUUUCAAGGAUAAGAUAUUGGUCUCUAGAAACCAAAAGUUUAGCCACAUAUUUCAUUAAUUCAAUGGAAGAAAACAAUUUGUUUGAUAUUCUUGAUAAUCGAGUUUUGAAGGAAGCUAAGAAAGAAGAGAUUAUUGCAGUCACCAACCUUGUGAAAAGGUGCUUGAACUUGAAUGGAAAGAAACGACCUACGAUGAGAUGAAAGAGGUCGCAAAAGAGUUGAAGGCAGUACUGCAAAUCUCACGAAAAGCCUCUAACCUUCACCAAAACUUUGAAGAGGUCGUACUCAAGAAUGAAAUGUUCGAUCAGUAUGAUGUUUCUACAUCAGCAAUUGCAGGUAUGGACAGCAACAUAGCCUCCUGUUUAGAUGCUGAACCAUUAUUAUCGUCUUAAAUAUUAGUGCCAUUAUUUGCCCAAUUUCAUCUUGUGGGGUACAUAAUUUAGUCUUUUGGUUGAAUAUAUCUUGAAGUUAAUGCCAGCCAGCCAUGAAUAUAUCACUGAACAUGGAUUGUAUAUGAUAUAUAUCUUAUGGUGGAAUGAGGCAUGCAAACAUAUACAUUUUAUGGUCUCA